rnacentral:rRNA from 1 species
GACGAGGGGUCCAAGCGUUGUUCGGAAUCAUUGGGCGUAAAGCGGGUGUAGGUGGCUCUAUAAGUCAGGAGUGAAAGCCCCGAGCUUAACUCGGGAAGUGCUUUUGAUACUGCAGGAGCUUGAAUGUGGGAGAGGAUCGUGGAAUUCCAGGUGUAGCGGUGAAAUGCGUAGAUAUCGUAAGGAAGACCAGUGGCGAAGGCGGGUCUCUGGACAGUUCCUGACGCUGAGGCACGAAGGUCAGGGGAGCAAACGGG